rnacentral:pre_miRNA from 1 species
CUGUGUGUGUGUGUGUGUGUGUGUGUGUGUGUGUGUGUGUGUGUCCAUCGCGCCCAGGUACACAUGCACAGACGUGCACAAACACAGUC